CCCUACGGGGGGCAGCAGUGAGGAAUAUUGGUCAAUGGUCGGGAGACUGAACCAGCCAAGCCGCGUGAGGGAUGAAGGUACAGAGUAUCGUAAACCUCUUUUGUCAGGGAACAAAGGCGGGGACGUGUCCCCGGAUGAGUGUACCUGAAGAAAAAGCAUCGGCUAACUCCGUGCCAGCAGCCGCGGUAAUACGGAGGAUGCGAGCGUUAUCCGGAUUUAUUGGGUUUAAAGGGUGCGUAGGCGGGCUUCUAAGUCAGCGGGAAAAAUUCGGGG
rnacentral:rRNA from 1 species